CGCUCUUUGUUUUAUUUAUUUAAGGAGUCGUGCCUGCCCAGUGAAUUUUUUUAACGGCCGCAGUACCCUGACUGUGCUAAGGUAGCAUAAUCAUUUGCCUUUUAAUUGGAGGCUAGUAUGAAUGGCUUGACGUAAAUUUUACUGUCUCUAUUGUAUUAUAUAAAAUUUAAUUUUUAGGUGCAGAAGCCUAAAUAUAUUUAAAAGACGAAAAGACCCUGUCGAGCUUUAAAAUUGGUAAUUAAUUUUAUAUGUUGUAGAAGAAUUUUUUUUUCUAUUUUUUUUUUGUUGGGGUGACAGAAGAACAUGAAAAGCUUCUUUUUAUUGAUUAAACUGAUUAGUUUUAUUGAUCCAUUAUUUAGUGAUAAAAAGAAUAAGUUACCGCAGGGAUAACAGCGUAAUUUUCUUGGAAAGUUCUAAUUAAAAAGAAAGUUUGCGACCUCGAUGUUGGAUUAAAAUACCGGACAGGUGCAAAAGCUUGUUUUUGGAGGUCUGUUCGCCCUUUAAAUUUUUACA
rnacentral:rRNA from 1 species